rnacentral:rRNA from 1 species
GACGAACGCUGGCGGCGUGCUUAACACAUGCAAGUCGAACGGUAACAGGCCCUUCGGGGUGCUGACGAGUGGCGGACGGGUGAGUAAUGCUUAGGAAUCUGCCUAGUAGUGGGGGAUAACCCGGGGAAACUCGGGCUAAUACCGGAUAUGACUUCAUGACGCAUGUUGUGGAGUGGAAAGCCUUGUGCGGCUGAGGAUGGGCCCGCGGCCUAUCAGCUUGUUGGUGGGGUGANGGCCUACCAAGGCGACGACGGGUAGCCGGCCUGAGAGGGCGACCGGCCACACUGGGACUGAGAUACGGCCCAGACUCCUACGGGAGGCAGCAGUGGGGAAUCUUGCGCAAUGGGCGAAAGCCUGACGCAGCGACGCCGCGUGAGGGAUGACGGCCU